UACGAAGGGGGCUAGCGUUGUUCGGAAUUACUGGGCGUAAAGCGCACGUAGGCGGAUAUUUAAGUUAGGGGUGAAAUCCCAGGGCUCAACCCUGGAACUGCCUUUAAUACUGGGUAUCUCGAGUCCGAGAGAGGUGAGUGGAAUUCCGAGUGUAGAGGUGAAAUUCGUAGAUAUUCGGAGGAACACCAGUGGCGAAGGCGGCUCACUGGUCCAUUACUGACGCUGGAGGUGACGAAAGCGGUGGGGAGCAAACAGG
rnacentral:rRNA from 1 species